CACUCUUGCGAGCAUACUUCCCAGGCGGGAUACUUAACGCGUUAGCUUCGAUACUGCACAGGUCGAUCUGUUCAACAUCUAGUAUCCAUAGUUUACGGCUAGGACUACUGGGGUAUCUAAUCCCAUUUGCUACCCUAGCUUUCGUCUCUGAGUGUUAGUAAUAGCCCAGUAAAGUGCUUUCGCCAUCGGUGUUCUUUCCAAUAUCUACGCAUUUCACCGCUCCACUGGAAAUUCCCUUUACCUCUACUAUACUCUAGUCUAAUAGUUUCGACUGCGAUUUUGAAGUUGAGCCUCAAGAUUUAACAGUUGACUUAUUAAACCACCUACAGACGCUUUACGCCCAGUGAUUCCGGAUAACACUUGCAUCCUCCGUCUUAGCCGCGGCUGCUGGCACGGAGUUAGCCGAUGCUUAUUCUUCAGGUACACWGUCAUUUUAUUCCUCCCUGAAAAAAGAGGUUUACAACCCAUAGGCAGUCUUCCCUCACGCGGUAUUGCUCCGUCAGCUUUCGCCCAUUGCGGAAAAUUCCCCACUGCUGCCUCCCGUAGGAAUCACUAGUG
rnacentral:rRNA from 1 species